UACAGAGGGUGCAAGCGUUGUUCGGAAUUAUUGGGCGUAAAGCGCGUGUAGGCGGCCGUGCAAGUCGGGUGUGAAAGCCCUCGGCUCAACCGAGGAAGUGCGCCCGAAACUGCAUGGCUUGAGUACCGGAGAGGAUGGCGGAAUUCCCCAAGUAGAGGUGAAAUUCGUAGAUAUGGGGAGGAACACCGGUGGCGAAGGCGGCCAUCGUGGACGGAUACGUGACGCGAUGAGACGGCGAAAGCGUGGGGAGCCAACAGGAUUAGAAACCCCCUGU
rnacentral:rRNA from 1 species